GCGAGUAUGGCCCUCACGGGUCUAUCCACCUAUAAACACCUUUGUGAACCAUUCAGGGGGACUCGAGCUGUGAAAGCCUAGGCGAUUAGCAGGAGGGCCUCCCUUGUCAAACCCGUUUAGAAGUCUUGAAAGUACUAGUUGUAAUAAUCUAAUA
rnacentral:misc_RNA from 1 species